rnacentral:rRNA from 1 species
CUACGGGAGGCAGCAGUGGGGAAUUUUGGACAAUGGGGGCAACCCUGAUCCAGCCAUGCCGCGUGCGGGAAGAAGGCCUUCGGGUUGUAAACCGCUUUUGUCAGGGAAGAAAAGCUCUGGGUUAAUACCCUGGGGUGCUGACGGUACCUGAAGAAUAAGCACCGGCUAACUACGUGCCAGCAGCCGCGGUAAUACGUAGGGUGCGAGCGUUAAUCGGAAUUACUGGGCGUAAAGCGUGCGCAGGCGGUCAUGCAAGACGGAUGUGAAAUCCCCGGGCUCAACCUGGGAACUGCAUUCGUGACUGCAUGACUGGAGUGUGGCAGAGGGGAAUGGAAUUCCGCGUGUAGCAGUGAAAUGCGUAGAUAUGCGGAGGAACACCGAUGGCGAAGGCAGUUCCCUGGGCCUGCACUGACGCUCAUGCACGAAAGCGUGGGGAGCAAACAGGAUUAGAUACCCCAGUAGUCC